rnacentral:rRNA from 1 species
GACACUGCGCCGAAAAUGUACCGGGGCUAAACAUAUUACCGAAGCUGUGGAUUGUCCUUUGGACAAUGGUAGGAGAGCGUUCUAAGGGCGUUGAAGCAUGAUCGUAAGGACAUGUGGAGCGCUUAGAAGUGAGAAUGCCGGUGUGAGUAGCGAAAGACGGGUGAGAAUCCCGUCCACCGAUUGACUAAGGUUUCCAGAGGAAGGCUCGUCCGCUCUGGGUUAGUCGGGUCCUAAGCUGAGGCCGACAGGCGUAGGCGAUGGAUAACAGGUUGAUAUUCCUGUACCACCUAUAAUCGUUUUAAUCGAUGGGGGGACGCAGUAGGAUAGGCGAAGCGUGCGAUUGGAUUGCACGUCUAAGCAGUAAGGCUGAGUAUUAGGCAAAUCCGGUACUCGUUAAGGCUGAGCUGUGAUGGGGAGAAGACAUUGAGUCUUCGAGUCGUUGAUUUCACACUGCCGAGAAAAGCCUCUAGAUAGAAAAUAGGUGCCCGUACCGCAAACCGACACAGGUAGUCAAGAUGAGAAUUCUAAGGUGAGCGAGCGAACUCUCGUUAAGGAACUCGGCAAAAUGACCCCGUAACUUCGGGAGAAGGGGUGCUCUUUAGGGUUAACGCCCAGAAGAGCCGCAGUGAAUAGGCCCAAGCGACUGUUUAUCAAAAACACAGGUCUCUGCUAAACCGUAAGGUGAUGUAUAGGGGCUGACGCCUGCCCGGUGCUGGAAGGUUAAGAGGAGUGGUUAGCUUCUGCGAAGCUACGAAUCGAAGCCCCAGUAAACGGCGGCCGUAACUAUAACGGUCCUAAGGUAGCGAAAUUCCUUGUCGGGUAAGUUCCGACCCGCACGAAAGGCGUAACGAUUUGGGCACUGUCUCAACGAGAGACUCGGUGAAAUCAUAGUACCUGUGAAGAUGCAGGUUACCCGCGACAGGACGGAAAGACCCCGUGGAGCUUUACUGUAGCCUGAUAUUGAAAUUCGGCACAGCUUGUACAGGAUAGGUAGGAGCCUUUGAAACGUGAGCGCUAGCUUACGUGGAGGCGCUGGUGGGAUACUACCCUAGCUGUGUUGGCUUUCUAACCCGCACCACUUAUCGUGGUGGGAGACAGUGUCA